UACAGGGGGGGCAAGCGUUGUUCGGAAUUACUGGACGUAAAGGGCUCGUAGGCGGUCAACUAAGUCCGACGUGAAAUCCCAAGGCUUAACUUUGGAACUGCGUCGGAUACUGGAUGGCUUGAAUUCGGGAGAGGGAUGCAGAAUUCCAGGUGUAGCGGUGAAAUGCGUAGAUAUCUGGAGGAAUACCGGUGGCGAAGGCGGCAUCCUGGACCGACAUUGACGCUGAGGAGCGAAAGCUAGGGGAGCAAAAGGG
rnacentral:rRNA from 1 species